AGCUGCAGCCAAGGAGACUUUCUUAAGCUAGACUAUAAAUCCACACUAUUUGCACGGACAAAUGACCCAGGAACCUGAGACUGAAACUUCAUGAUUUUGCAUUAAGCUCUUGAGGCACGGUUCCAGCCUUUUUCCUGGCUCUUGCUUUGUGGCAGAACUUCAGCUGCUGUCACUGCAUGGGAACUGAUCCAGCUGAAAAAUACCCUGCCUGAGGAAAAGAUCCUUUUUUAUUGUGAUCACUGUUAUGGCUUGAGGAAGAGGGACACAUGGGCUGGGGAAAGAUGGAACUGUCCUCUCAGUGACAGCCUGUGCUUUGAUCAUUUAGGAAGAUAGUGAAACUGCAGCUGGUAAAAAGGGCUGAUCCUGCAAGUCCUACAGACAAAUUUUCUUCAACAGGGGCUUAUAGAGCAGAGCAAAAGGGAUUAAUAAACCAAAGUUAUGGGCUGAGCUGCAAAAGGAAGCACAUGCUUCACGACUCCAAGCUCUUUCUGCUCAUGUGGAAUGGAUUAAAGAUAAAAACAACCCUGUUAUGCGCUUUGCUCCUGAGCUGUUUCGAUCCUGUCUAUCUUCUUCUCCAGAGAAGCGUGUACAGGAACUAUUAUCUGUAACUCAAAACUGUGGCUCAUAUUUCCAGGAUAGCUCAUGGGAUCCACUUCUCCUUGCCAGAGAAUGAGGUAUCAAUGGGUACGAGCUGCAGUGGUUCAGGAACAUUUAGUGCCAGCCUGGUUGUUUUCUUGCAGGAUCUGCCUAUUUGCAUCUGUAUUUUAAAUAUGGAAUACUGGGGCACAUAGAAACAUAGUGACUGCUGAUGCUGGGCAGUGGAUCUCCUGUAGGACAAGCACCAAAUCCACAUUUGAUGUCUGUUUAGCUGGAAUCAUGGACAGCACAAACAUGCUCCUCACGCAACAACAGCUUUAUUACUCAGAAAUACUUUGAAAUUCCAGAUCCCGUUCCUAUUCUUUUUGCCUGCACCGAUGUGAAUGACCGCUGUUCUCCUCCCCACCGGGAUGUCAGCAGAUCCUGGAGCUUGUUUUCCACUGAAAUGUCUCCUCUUAGGUAAAUAUUACAUCUGGGGUUGCUUUGCCAGUGGCUUUCCUACCUGGAGUUUGUACAACAGGUCAAUGCCCUGCCAGGAGAUAAGAGGAAUACUUUGCUGCCAGUGCUGUUUGCUGCUGUGAAAUGCCACCCUGCCAACCUCAUCAGUUGCUUCUCCAAAGUUUUUUGAAUGUUGCUUAUGUCCUGAAGGUUUUUGCAAAUUGAGGGAAAUUUAAAACAAGAUGUUGAAUGUUUGGACAGAGCAGAAGAACUUGUUUAUUGCAACAGCCAUGACUUGUAAAUUAUUCAUCUGUGUGUAAUUGAAACACUCAGAUCCUCAAAGGUCAUGUUACAAAGAGUGAGGUGAAGGAUCAGCGAGCUUCCAGCAAAACAGGAAGGUUGGCAGGUGCUGGGGAAGCCUUCUCCAUCCACCUGUAUCUGUUCCGUGGCAGUGCCUUUUUGCAGAUGAAAACUGAGUUUUCAAUAGGUGAAGCAAUGUACAAACACGUGUCUGGGAAGGGGAGAGGCCAUGUAUGAAGUACCUUCCUCUGACAGUUUUCCCUCCAGUGGAAAACACAGGUUUGAAGCCUGUUGCAGUGAGACAUCUACACCUGUCUGAGGACUCAGCCCAAGCAUCAGCACACACACAAUGGACUCUGGCCUCUGUGGAAUGGAGAAGUUCCAAGGACCAAGAGGGACCAGAAUAGCUGUGUAAGCAGAGAAGAAUCCAGUGCAGUUCCACUCAGCAGAUCUGUCUCCAGACAACACCAGACUUCAACUAAUUUAAAAGAGCAGAUGCUAGCUGGAACAUUAAUUGCAACAGCUACUAACUUUUCUCUGUGCUUCAGUCUGUAUUCUAGCUCUCUCAUACCAGGUUUGGAGAGAAAGAGUUAACCCUUUAGGUUGUUUCUUUUUUUUUAGUCACAGCAUGUCCUUAGAAGAGAGCAUGAUGUUCUAUGAAUAGGUUUGAAUCCAGGUUUUUUUUCAUCUGAAAACAAUUCUCUGUCUAGUAAUGCAGAACCAUCAUCACAAACAGCACUCUCAACCCUUCCCUCUCACUGUGUUGUCAGUAAAGUGAUCUUGCUCAGCUUUCAGAGGCCUUGUAGCAGUGCUGGGCACAGAGCCAGCUGCUCUUCUUCCCUGUAUGUAUUGUAUUAGAUGGACACCUCUUCGUUAACCUGGGCUCAUUUGUUCCCCUCAGGCUGUAUUCCUUCUCAUUAGACUUGAUGUAUGAUCAAGAAAAGAAAGUGCAAAGAGCUCAGCUGACAUCUGAUACACUUAUAAAUAGCCUUUCUGCCCUGCUACAGUUCUGUGGCCAUCCCAACGGGAGCAAGCACUCAGUGUAUCACACUCUUCCUGGAACUGGGAUGCUAUCGAAGAUUUUCCUCUAAAGCAGCCAAAUUUGCUCUGCUGGAAACUGGGUGCUUGAAUGCAGGCACCACUGGUCUGUUCCAGAUUGGCAGUUCCUUAGUUUUGUCCUAAUAUCCAAUCAGGCAAAGGCAUUGUUUGAACAAUGAGGCUCUUCCACUGUUCCCUGCCCUCCCUGCUCCCUGUAACAGGCAGAGGCUCCCUCAGCUCAGUGAACAGCCCUGGACUUUUUCUACAACUGUGCUCACACUCCACCCCAGGCUCCUGUUACUCCCUUCAUUCCCAAACCCCAUUUCCUCCCUCUCCCUCAGGGCUGGAUCCCAUCUCCUCCAUGGGCUCACUGAGUCCAUCACAGGUCUGGCAAUCCUUGUUGAGAUGUGUCCUGUGAUGCUGUCAUGAGCACCAGUGUUCCCAUCUAAACACAAUCUUCUCUGGCUUCCAGCGGAUGAUGAGGAGCAUAUCCCUUAACCCCUUUUUCUUUUGCUGACCUCCUUGGGUGAUAACUAUUGUCAUUUCCCACACCUUACUGGCACUGAAUGAGCCUCAAAGUCAGCUACCAGAGAGAUUGCCAGGGAGUGAUGAAUUUAGGCAGGAGAGCUAUGGGGAGGAUUACAGGGCUGAUUGAGAUAUUACAGAUUAUUCCUGACUCAUACUCUUGUAGGUCUGAUGAAAGAAAUGAGUCCGAUCCUUCCAACACAGUUUGACCUGGCAGAUGCAGCCGGCAGCCAGCUCAGCGGCUGUGUGAGGAGCUCACUAUGUUUUGUAAAUGGAAUAAAGUUCAUUUAACACAGCAGGCCUGUAUUUGCUGUUAACUCAAAGGCCUCUCGCCUGAAAACAACCUGCAGAUCACUUACCCCAUCACUGCUUGCAGGAGGAAUUAGCUCCUGAGAACUGCUGCUGGUGGAGGAGGCACUUGAAAUUCAUUUUAUGAACAUCAGUUUGUUCUGAAUUGUACUUUGCCAAGAUUGUUAUCCUUAAGGAAGAGGAGGUGAAACCGCAGAGCAAGGAGAUGAGCCUCCAAGAAUAUGAAGCUGACCUCCCAGCUGUGUGUUCUGCACUGGUACCCACAGGAGCUCUGUCUGUUGGUGCCACGAUGCUGCAUUUCUGACCUGGCGGUGCUCCAGCUGUGACCUGAGCGAAGGUUACUGUGUUUGCAUGUAGGCUUUGUGUUUGCUAUUUAAGGUGAGUGAGAGGCUCUGAAUUCCCUUGGUUGGGUCACCCUCUCUGUUUCCCAAUUCAAUGCAAACAGCCAGAGAGGCAGGCAGCUCUUCCUUGAAGACAUUCAAAUCCUCAAGAGGUGUGCCAGUGUCUGGCAGAUGUGGUGUUGGCAAUGCACGGUGGACACAACGUGGUCAUAGUUGUUCAGUCCUGUAAACACUGCGUUCAAAACCACCAUCUCCUCUCAACACCUCCUUGAGCCACUUCCUCACAGUGCUCAGCACAAGGAUCCUGCACAAACGCACCCAGCCCUGGCGUAUUCCUUCCAGGAGAGGGCAGGGGAAUACAGUUUAUCGCAGAUCCACUCCUGAACUGGAGCCAACGUCCAUGCAAUCCCAGAUCUUCCUGUACGUCUUCCAGUAUAUUUUGCUUUCCUAAACUUGGAUGAGCAGAAGUGGGUUCUGAAUCUCCUCCAGGUGAGUCAGAGGGUUUUGUCACAUUUACAGACCUGCCUGUCCCUGAGUCAUUUUCUGGAGGGGCGGCUUGGGCUGGGCUGUGCCCCUUGCCCUGGACCCCUUGCAAUGAGCCUUGUGUAUUCCAUUGAAGGCAUCGGCUGCUGGGCAGCUUCAGGACCUGGAUUUAAAGAGCCGAGCCCCACCUCCUGUGCUUCACCUCGCCAUCAAGCCAGGGGAGGCAGCGAUGGGCCAGCCUGUGUGUCACACGCUCAGCACACUCCUGUCCCUGCAGAGGGUGGCCUGAUUCCCUUGGAUGUCCAUGAUAGCAGCAGGAACAGCUCUGCCCCAUGGUGCUUUUGCCAGAUUAAAGUGCAGGGGUUGUGCAUGGAAACCCGAGGCUGGAGCUGGACCUGGCUAAAGAUGGGCUAGAGAAAUGCAGCCAGAAGGUUGGCUAAUGUUUUCUCUCUCGGUGUAUUAAUGAACAGAAAGUUUGGGACAAAACCAGAAACUCUCCCCAGGUCCCCCCACUGUCUUUAACAGUCAAAAACGUAAUAGCAUAAAAAAUCCUAAAAUGAGUUUCUUCCAACUUAUCUCCUCCUGGACCUAUGAUUCUGACUUGAAAAGACAACAUAAUUUCCAAACCAGUGGAGGAAAGAAAAAAACCCAAAAAUCAAUAAACUGUUGGCCCUGCAGCACAGAUGCCCUGGCAAGGCCAAAGAAAUUAAGUCCUGAGAUUGCUGUUGCUGUUUCCACCUUGUCCUGCAGAGACACAGCCAGGGAUAAACAUAUUCUUUGUGUCAAUAUUUCUGUAGUACCGAGGGAACUUACAGUCCUUAUCUGUGAGUGUCAAGGACUGCUAAGUUAACAUGAUCAUAUAAUUACUGGAGAGUCUGACAGGCUUUUUUUGUUUCCUCUGUCUCCAUGUCACUGUUCUGGUGCUGAAAGUCAAAACCCAGGAGAGCUCAGCUGGAUGUGACCAUGGGCUUUGUGGCACAUGGAAGGGAUCCAUCUGCAGGAGAUUAAUUUUAAAAAAGGACCCAAAAAAUCCCCAAACAACACACAAAACCAACAAAUAGAAUUUGAACUUCCUUUUUAUUUUUUUUUUUUUACUGUGCUUGAUUAUUUUUGCUUCUUUCAUUGGAGAAAGAACAACCUUGAUUUGUAAAUCAGAUGGAAAUAAUCAAUUCAGCCUGACUAACCCUUGUUUUGCCAGGUGGCUAGUAGGCUCAUCACAUUACUAAUAGUUUGCUGCUGCAGUAAGUGGGAUAUAGCAAGGGCUGGGGCAGAAAUACCACAGGUGACCUCUAAAGACAGCAAAGCACUCGUCCAAUGCAACACAAUCUCUCUUUUUGCCCAUCCAUGAAGUUCAAACAUUUUUCCUUCAAAUCCCCUCAAAAACAAGAAGUAAUUUGUAACACAGAACUGUGCAAGCAACAUAGAAAAGGGGAGAAAAUCUGAGGCAGGAAAGGUCAGCCUCUGUAGAGCGUGUUUAGAAAGGCAAAUUAUGAGCAGAGCCAGACAAUUGUUAGGUGUAAACUGCUGAGUGUGGUGUGGAGGAACCCUUUGCUGUCUUUCCCACCUUGAAUGGCUCUGUGCUAUGUGGCACAGAACAACUCAUGAAUAAUUCCGACUAUGGCUCCUUUUUAACUUUAUAAAACAGGGCAAUUAUUAUCUCCAGGAAAAUUUUUAAAAGCUUGAGUGCUGAGGUUUAUCUGCCUUUCCUGACUAGAUCUUUAGCACACAGCCAAGAGACAAAAGCCAGAUAAAGGGACCUUAACUCUGUGUUUUCCCAGUGUUUGACUGGGCUGUGCCAAUGCGAGAAAUGCUGUCUGAGCAGGGCAACCAGUUUGACUGAAGUUCUCUCCUGAACAGUGCCAAAAGAGAGAAUGGAAAAUGCCCAAGAAAUAUCAAGGGACAGAAGUAACAGUAGAUUUUCAAAAUAGUUGCUGAAGAGGUGAAAAUAAAGAAAUCUCUUAGUGAUGCACAAAAAAGAUGGGUUGGGAAAAUUCAGAUGUAUUUCAUAGUAUGGGAUGAGGACUCAAUUGUGCUGCAGUACCAAAUGAGGGGCACUAAUGUGAGACAUCAGUCACAGAUGCACAAAAAUUAAUUCCCAAAAUCUUGUCCCAGCCCAACAGCCAUUGCUGUUUCUCAUGAAAAGUUGGCAGAAAAAAAGGGAUCAGAAGUAAUUAUAUUUGUCUAGAUCUGUGCAUUUCCCCUGCUGUUAAUAAAGGCUUGUAGUGUGUCCAAAGCCUUGAGCAAAACGUAGAUGUGUGUCAACUUGCUUUCACUGUCAUGGGGCUCAGAAGAAUUAACCAGUGCACAGCUUAAGAAGUACAUUCAGAGAUCAUGGAGGGAUGGAAAAGUGGCUGAGCGGCUCAGAGGCUGGCACCUGUCCCUGUAGCUUGUAAUCUUCAGUUUUGGGUUUAAGCCCCAAAGUGUGCCUGCAGUCCUCAAAACCAAGUCUGCAGUUCAAAGCACUCACAGAAGACUCAUGGAUAAGAAAAUAUAGUCUAGCUGAGAAUGGAAAUUUCUCUGUUAAAAUCUUUGCUCAGGAAAGAUGCUGUGAUAGAUGAAGCUAUGGUGAUGUUCCAGCAAGGACAGCCCCAGACUGGCAUUUUAGGAGGCAGUGACUUUUGUGCACUUUUCCAUUAUUCUCUGUUGUAAGGUGCCAGGUUUGUGCUGUACUGAGGCAUCAGAACUUGUGCCAUUCUGUCUGUUUGGUUUUAACAUGUCCUUUGUCUCUGUCUAGAAAUUUUGCCUGGGCAGAAAAAGAGGACUUUGGAUAUUUGCCCAGUGUGUACUGAUGUCCAACAGCCUGGUUAGGGCAGCAAUUUCUACAAGAGUUCUGGACACGCAGGAAUGCUGAAGGCACAGUCACUGAGCCUGCACACAAGGGCUGUGCUGAGGUUUCCCAUGGAAUCUGUGUGCACAGAAAAGGGGAUCUGGACAUAUGCAAAAGGUCUGGUGCAUCCAGAACUUGUCACACUGUGUGGGAGUGAGCUUGGGCCAGGGUUCAUUCUGCAUGCUCUAGACUCACUUCCCAGGUGCUGUGCACUGCCUGACUGCAUUCCUAAUACUUUUUUUUUCCCCCACAGAGAAAUCUCAGGGAGAAAUACAAAUGCCUUAGUUACACUUUCCUGGUAUUUUCCAUUGAAUUUCGCCUCACAGCAGUAUUCAAAGGCUGAGAUGCUCAGUAGGGUUCUUCAGAUGUGAAGAAAGUAUCAGAUCCCUCCUCAGUCACGACAUGCAGCCACUCAGGGGCAGGUGCUGGCAAAAGGGAUGGUGGCAGUGCAUCCUGUCCCACAGCAGCACGUUUGGAUCUGCUUGAGCCCACUGAAAACUUCUCACCUUCCUAUCUCCAGCCUCAGAAACAGCCAAGAGCACAGCCCUGCAGCUGCACAGUGGGCAAAGGACCCAGCCUCCAGUGGUGCUUCUAGGGAAGCGAAAAGGCUGUGGGCCCAGUAAAAUGGAUGAAACUUGAAAAGCAGAACUGGGAAAACACCAUUUUAUUUCCACAUAAGAACAGCAAGGCUUUCUGUGGGGAGAAGGAAUGGUGUGCUGUCCCAUGUGCCCUCCAAAAGGGUGCACAGACCUCUUGUUAUAGGACUGCAUCCUCAUAUCCCAGGCUGCACUUUCCUAAGAAAUCUGAAAAAAGGAAAAAUUGAGAAUUGAAAUUGAAAAAUGUCGAGCAGAAAAACAGAAAAGCUGCUGCUGCAGCUGGCCCCACUGUGAUCCUCUUCUGCAGGAGUUGAACAUAGAUCCUGAUCCAUACCAGGUAC